AUGGCGACCGGCGCACGGGUGAGUAACACGUAUCCAACCUGCCGAUGACUCGGGGAUAGCCUUUCGAAAGAAAGAUUAAUAUCCGAUAGGAUAUCAAGGUCGCAUGAUCUUGAUAUUAAAGAAUUUCGGUUAUCGAUGGGGAUGCGUUCCAUUAGUUAGUUGGCGGGGUAACGGCCCACCAAGACGACGAUGGAUAGGGGUUCUGAGAGGAAGGUCCCCCACAUUGGAACUGAGACACGGUCCAAACUCCUACGGAAGGCAGCAG
rnacentral:rRNA from 1 species